GACGAACGCUGGCGGCGUGCCUAAUACAUGCAAGUCGAACGCUUCUUUUUCCACCGGAGCUUGCUCCACCGGAAAAAGAGGAGUGGCGAACGGGUGAGUAACACGUGGGUAACCUGCCCAUCAGAAGGGGAUAACACGUGGAAACAGGUGCUAAUACCGUAUAACAAUCAAAACCGCAUGGUUUUGAUUUGAAAGGCGCUUUCGGGUGUCGCCGAUGGAUGGACCCGGGGGGCAUUAGCUAGUUGGGGAGGUAACGGCUCACCAAGGCCACGAUGCAUAGCCGACCUGAGAGGGUGAUCGGCCACAUUGGGACUGAGACACGGCCCAAACUCCUACGGGAGGCAGCAGUAGGGAAUCUUCGGCAAUGGACGAAAGUCUGACCGAGCAACGCCGCGUGAGUGAAGAAGGUUUUCGGAUCGUAAAACUCUGUUGUUAGAGAAGAACAAGGAUGAGAGUAACUGUUCAUCCCUUGACGGUAUCUAACCAGAAAGCCACGGCUAACUACGUGCCAGCCGCCGCAGUAA
rnacentral:rRNA from 1 species